rnacentral:tRNA from 1 species
GCCCCGGUGGCGGAAUGGUAGACGCAUCUGACUCAAAAUCAGACGCUCGAAAGGGCGUGCCGGUUCGAGUCCGGCCCGGGGCA